CAGAAGAGGAGCACUGCCUAGGUAGCUUUAUUUGUGGAGCCCAAACUCCCAAACAAAUAAGUGAGGGAGAGUUGUGCCGAGAUAAUCUUAAUUGGGAAGAGAUUAUCGAUCGUAUUGGCUGAAUCCUUACGAUUGCCACUUAAUUUUAAGUGGAGGGCUUCUA
rnacentral:ncRNA from 1 species